GGCAAGGUGGCCGAGCGGUCUAAGGCGCCAGACUAAGGAUCUGGUCCUUCGGGGCGCGAGUUCGAAUCUCGCCCUUGUCA
rnacentral:tRNA from 2 species